UACGUAGGGUGCGAGCGUUAAUCGGAAUUACUGGGCGUAAAGCGUGCGCAGGCGGUUUUGUAAGCCAGAUGUGAAAUCCCCGGGCUCAACCUGGGAAUGGCGAUGGUGACUGCAAGGCUAGAGUUUGGCAGAGGGGGGUAGAAUUCCACGUGUAGCAGUGAAAUGCGUAGAGUAUGUGGAGGAACACCGAUGGCGAAGGCAGCCCCUGGGUCAAAACUGACGCUCAUGCACGAAAGCGUGGGGAGCAAACAGGAUUAGACUACCCG
rnacentral:rRNA from 1 species